GGCACCAUAGCCAAGAGGUAAGGCAAAGGUCUGCAAAACCUUCAUUCUCCGGUUCAAAUCCGGAUGGUGCCUCCA
rnacentral:tRNA from 1 species